CCGCUCUGAAAAGCGAUUCUUCGAAUCCGCCGACGGUGAAAGCCGGGCCUGUGCGCCCGGUGAAGCUCUCAGGCCCAUGACAGAGGGGGAGUU
rnacentral:ncRNA from 1 species